UACGAAGGGGGCUAGCGUUGCUCGGAAUUACUGGGCGUAAAGCGCGCGUAGGCGGAUCGUUAAGUCGGGGGUGAAAUCCUGGAGCUCAACUCCAGAACUGCCUUUGAUACUGACAGGCUCGGGUCCGGGAGAGGUGAGUGGAACUGCGAGUGUAGAGGUGAAAUUCGUAGAUAUUCGCAAGAACACCAGUGGCGAAGGCGGCUCACUGGCCCGGUACUGACGCUGAGGUGCGAAAGCGUGGGGAGCAAACAGG
rnacentral:rRNA from 1 species